rnacentral:rRNA from 1 species
UACGGAGGGAGCUAGCGUUAUUCGGAAUUACUGGGCGUAAAGCGCACGUAGGCGGCUUUGUAAGUAAGAGGUGAAAGCCUGGAGCUCAACUCCAGAAUUGCCUUUUAGACUGCAUCGCUUGAAUCAUGGAGAGGUGAGUGGAAUUCCGAGUGUAGAGGUGAAAUUCGUAGAUAUUCGGAAGAACACCAGUGGCGAAGGCGGCUCACUGGACAUGUAUUGACGCUGAGGUGCGAAAGCGUGGGGAGCAAACGG